AGCGUCGCUUGAAAUCUCAUUAUGCACAAACUUGGCUAUGUGGGAACCUAAAUACUUUAUUGUGUUCUAAAUAUGAGGUGCUUUUCUGCUCCAAUGAAUCCAGAGUGUGUCACAAUGAAGUUUUGGUGCUGUGGUGUACUGGGGUCUGCAGGACUCUGGGGCAGCUGCAAAGGACAGAGAGGUCACAAUCCCAUCUCAGAUAAAAACCCUGUCUGGAAUGAAAAGAAGCAAUCUAAAACCAUUCUAAAACUCAAGCAAUUGAAGUGAUCAAAUUUAGGAAAAUACAACAGCACAGUAAAUACAUACAGUCAGGUGCUGUGAGAGCUCUUCUUUUAACUGCAAUGGGGAAGCAACCAACCAAACUUUGUAGGAAAGCCCAAAAUCUGUAGGACUUCCCACAUUCUUCAUAGGGCUGAGCAGGUCCAGCUGUGCCACAUCUGCUGCAGGGUUUGUGUCCAGCUGCUGGCUGCACAUUCCACUGAGCUGAGCCCAAAGGAGAGGAGCACCAAGUGACACCAGCCCUGAAAGCAGUGGGAUGGAUGAAGUCACAUUCCAAUCACAGAUGAAUUAGUGUUAAGUAGAGGCUCAAAUUCUGAAAUUACAUGUUCUGGGAAAAUGAAGAAUAAUCUCCCUGAGCACAGGUGCAAAUUUAUCCUGUGUUGGCAUUAUUGCAUUUGUUCCAAAAGGAAAUCCACCAAGAAGACCAGGAACUGAAAACUGUAAAAAUGCUUGAGAAAAGUCAAGACUCAUUCCAGUCUGUUGUGAUGGAAGAGUCAGGAGUGCACGAUGAGAAGGGCUCAGCUGCACCUCAUGGGGCCAUGCACAGCACUGGACCUGUUCCUCCUGCCUCCAGGGCUUCUGGAGAGCUCAUGGAAUGGCCACAAGGGAGAAGAAAUCAAUGGGAUUAAGUGUUGAUUGAAAGCAGACAUAAAAAUGUGAGUCUCUUGAAGCAUAACUAGAGAACAGGUAAAAAAUAUACCUGUUUUGUAUACAAAUAUCCCGUAACACACCCGUCCCACCACACCCUGCUGGUCUGCGGGCUCCCCAGGAGAGCACCAGCAGGGCUGUUUCUGCAGGAGCAGCUGGCCCUGGGAGAGCAGGAGCAGCCUCCUCAGCCUUCGAGUCAGCAGCAUGGCUGUGGUGUUGCUGAAGCACAGCUUU